GGUUACAAAGCAGGAGUUGGUUGAAUUUAUGGUGCUUGAAUAAAUGGUGUUUUUAUGGUCAUGGUUUAAUGGAACAAGAAUAUUUGCUAAAUGUAAUGAACGCGUAAACGCUAGAUGAAUGUGUUUUUAAAUGGUGUUUUUUCAACAGUACUUACGUGUAGCAAUGAAGUGGCAAGAAGUAUACAUUUUAUAUCAAUUCCAAAGGUGAAAGGUCACUAUUGGGCCCCAUUGGGUAAAUUAUAACCAAGGGGUAUGGCAUUGAUACAGAGGAGGGUCAAUUUUGAUGAAACGUGGCAGAAAAUAUCCAAUACAGUUGAAGCAGUCAUAUGCUUGAAAAAGGUUACAACAAAAGAUUGGAAUGAAAGAUUUACAUAUCCUUUCU
rnacentral:lncRNA from 1 species